UGGGGGGAUGGGGAGGAGAGGGAGAGGAGAGAAGAGACGAGGCGAAGAGAGAGCGUGGGAUUGUGCAGGCAUAUGCAGGCAGGCAGGCAGCAAAGCAGCAAGGCAAGCAGAGCCGGCCUCCACAAAAGAAAUGGGUCAGUCUCUGAAAGAAAUGGCCAUCCCCACUGCAGCUCCUCCUCCGUAGGACACAGUCUCAGAGAGUAAGGGAGAGAAGGA
rnacentral:lncRNA from 1 species